rnacentral:rRNA from 1 species
CAUGCAAGUCGAACGGCAGCACGGACUUCGGUCUGGUGGCGAGUGGCGAACGGGUGAGUAAUGCAUCGGAACGUGCCCAAUCGUGGGGGAUAACGUAGCGAAAGUUACGCUAAUACCGCAUACGAUCUAAGGAUGAAAGCGGGGGAUCGCAAGACCUCGCGCGAAUGGAGCGGCCGAUGUUAGAUUAGGUGGUUGGUGGGGUAAAGGCUCACCAAGCCGACGAUCUAUAGCUGGUCUGAGAGGAUGAUCAGCCACACUGGGACUGAGACACGGCCCAGACUCCUACGGGAGGCAGCAGUGGGGAAUUUUGGACAAUGGGCGCAAGCCUGAUCCAGCCAUUCCGCGUGCAGGAUGAAGGCCCUCGGGUUGUAAACUGCUUUUGUACAGAACGAAAAGCUCUGGGUUAAUACCCUGGGGUCAUGACGGUACUGUAAGAAUAAGCACCGGCUAACUACGUGCCAGCAGCCACGGUAAUACGUAGGGUGCAAGCGUUAAUCGGAAUUACUGGGCGUAAAGCGUGCGCAGGCGGUGAUGUAAGACAGAGGUGAAAUCCCCGGGCUCAACCUGGGAACUGCCUUUGUGACUGCAUCGCUAGAGUACGGCAGAGGGGGAUGGAAUUCCGCGUGUAGCAGUGAAAUGCGUAGAUAUGCGGAGGAACACCGAUGGCGAAGGCAAUCCCCUGGGCCUGUACUGACGCUCAUGCACGAAAGCGUGGGGAGCAAACAGGAUUAGAUACCCUGGUAGUCCACGCCCUAAACGAUGUCAACUGGUUGUUGGGUCUUCACUGACUCAGUAACGAAGCUAACGCGUGAAGUUGACCGCCUGGGGAGUACGGCCGCAAGGUUGAA